GACGAACGCUGGCGGCGUGCCUAACACAUGCAAGUCGAACGGAAAGGCCCUGCUUUUGUGGGGUGCUCGAGUGGCGAACGGGUGAGUAACACGUGAGUAACCUGCCCUUGACUUUGGGAUAACUUCAGGAAACUGGGGCUAAUACCGGAUAUGAGCUACUGCUGCACAGUGGGGGUUGGUAAGUUUCGGCGGUUUGGGAUGGACUCGCUGCUUAUGAGCUUGUUGGGGGGGUAGGCGCUGUCAAAGGCUUUGACGGGUAGCCGGCCUGAGAGGGUGACCGGCCACAUGGCGCCUGCGGUACGGCCCAGACUCCUACGUGCGGCAGUAGUCGGGAAUAUUGCACAAUGGGCCGACGUCAGAGGCAGCAACCCCGCGUGCGUGAUGACGGCUUUCGGGUGGUAAACCACUUUCGCCUGUGACGAAGAGUGAGUGACGGUAAUGGGUAAAGAAGCACCGGCUAACUACGUG
rnacentral:rRNA from 1 species